UUUGUUCUACCGUGAAUACCCACAAACGCUUUAAGCUUCCAAUUGCGAGCACAAGCAACGUUUACACGCUAGAGCGCGACCUAAACAUUCGUUUAAUAAAAGAAACCGACCAAUAUGUAGUUUCUUAUGCAGAACUAUAUAGUUUUGAAUUCCUCAUUGUACCUGAGGAUACGUAGGAGCGAGACAUGCAAUCUCACCAAGCACCCUAAUAAAAAAC
rnacentral:lncRNA from 1 species